AUUGAACGCUGGCGGCGUGCUUAACACAUGCAAGUCGGUCGGUAACGCGGGGGCAACCCUGGCGACGAGAGGCGGACGGGUGAGGAACGCUUGGGAAUCUGCCUAUCAGCGGGGGACAACACGGGGAAACUCGUGCUAAUACCGCAUACGCUCUACGGAGGAAAGCCGGGGACCGCAAGGCCUGGCACUGAUAGAUGAGCCCAAGCCGGAUUAGCUAGUUGGCGGGGUAACGGCCCACCAAGGCGACGAUCCGUCGCUGGUCUGAGAGGACGAUCAGCCACACUGGGACUGAGACACGGCCCAGACUCCUACGGGAGGCAGCAGUGGGGAAUAUUGGACAAUGGGGGAAACCCUGAUCCAGCGACGCCGCGUGGGUGAAGAAGGCCUGCGGGUUGUAAAGCCCUUUCGGUAGGGACGAAAGCUCUCGACCUAACACGUCGGGAGGUUGACUUAACCUACAAAAGAAGCACCGGCUAACUCUGUGCCAGCAGCCGCGGUAACAC
rnacentral:rRNA from 1 species